rnacentral:rRNA from 1 species
CUUGGCCGAGAGGUCUGGGAAAUCUUGUGAAACUCCGUCGUGCUGGGGAUAGAGCAUUGUAAUUAUUGCUCUUCAACGAGGAAUUCCUAGUAAGCGCAAGUCAUCCGUUGAUUACGUCCCUGCCCUUUGUACACACCGCCCGUCGCUACUACCGAUUGAAUGGCUUAGUGAGGCUUCCGGAUUGGUUUAAAGAAGGGGGCAACUCCAUCUUGGAACCGAAAAGCUAGUCAAACUUGGUCAUUUAGAGGAAGUAAAAGUCGUAACAAGGUUUCCGUAGGUGAACCUGCGGAAGGAUCAUUAC